rnacentral:lncRNA from 10 species
AACCUAGGAAGCAAGCAGGAAGUCUGGCCUCGCUCUCGGAUGCACCCCCCUUAAAAAGUGGACUCAGCUCCCUGGCGGGAGCCCCUUCUUUAAAAGACUCUGAGAGUAAAAGGGGAAAUACAGUUUUGAAAGAUCUGAAAUUGAUCAGUGAUAAAAUUGGAUCACUUGGAUUAGAAGAAUAAAUGUUCCCUGAGCUGCCCGGAUUCUUGUUCCGCACAGUGCCCUGGAGUCCUGGUAACUGAGUUGCUGGUUGUGCUGCCAUCUGCUCUUUGUGCGUCCUGGUUGCUGGCUGGCCAGCUAGGAACUGGAGAAGAUGAUGACUAUGUUGAUGAUUUUAAUAGUACCAGCC